rnacentral:rRNA from 1 species
AUAUCAAUAAGCGGAGGAAAAGAAACUAACAAGGAUUCCCGUAGUAACGGCGAGUGAAGUGGGAAAAGCUCAAAUUUGAAAUCUGGCAGCCUAUCUUUGGCUUGCCCGAGUUGUAACCUAGAGAAGCGUCUUUCCGUUGCUGGACCGUGUACAAGUCUCUUGGAAUAGAGCGUCGUAGAGGGUGAGAAUCCCGUCUUUGACACGGACUGCCGGCACGUUUGUGAUGCGCUCUCGAAGAGUCGAGUUGUUUGGGAAUGCAGCUCAAAAUGGGUGGUAAAUUCCAUCUAAAGCUAAAUAUUGGCGAGAGACCGAUAGCGAACAAGUACCGUGAGGGAAAGAUGAAAAGAACUUUGGAAAGAGAGUUAAACAGUAC